rnacentral:rRNA from 1 species
CAGUCGCCGCGGGAAUACGUAGGGUGCGAGCGUUAAUCGGAAUUACUGGGCGUAAAGCGUGCGCAGGCGGUUGUGUAAGACAGGUGUGAAAUCCCCGGGCUUAACCUGGGAACUGCGCUUGUGACUGCACAGCUAGAGUAUGGCAGAGGGGGGGUGGAAUUCCACGUGUAGCAGUGAAAUGCGUAGAGAUGUGGAGGAACACCGAUGGCGAAGGCAGCCCCCUGGGCCAAUACUGACGCCCAUGCACGAAAGCGUGGGGAGCAAACAGGAUUAGAUACCCCUGUAGUCCCUGUCUCUUAUA